UCUUUACAUUUUUUGAUAAAUAGUGUUGGUAUAUUAUCAGCCCCGCAGGAAUUGGAAUUUGAGAAAUUAGUAAUCAAAUUCAUAGUAUCUUCUCAAAAAAUUGGUCUAAAUUGUAAACAAUUCAUGUGUCUGGUAGAAGUUCCAAUUAGUUUUUGUAGAACAGCUGUUCAUUUGACAUCUUAUUAGUAGAUACAUAUAUUUACAUUCACCAUUUCUACAAUUAAUCCCAGAUGUUCGGAUAAAUCAUGUUGAAAAAGUGAUAUAUACAUUUCAGCUGUUGGAUCGCUAAUUAAGACAUGAUCGAGGCAUGUUCCACUAAUUCGCCUGGUAAUUUCAUCAUGGCAAAUACUAUAUCCACUUGACUCAAUAAUUGUUUUGUCUGCAAGAUGAGAUUCAAAUUUAUCUAGAAAUUAGUUUAUGUGGUUUUGAGUUGUUUCAGGUGGUCUAUAAAAAGCCGAUAUGUAUACCAUACUUAACAUUUUUGUAAAUAAGAUUUAUGCUCACAAGACUGUUAAAUUCAUCACAAUAUAUUUCAAUUUCUGAGUAUGACACCCUUUCAUGUACAUACAGUGUAACACCACCACCCCGUCUUCCAGAAAUUAUUGGUUCUCUAUAAUCGUUGAUUUUAUAAGAAAAAUUGGCAUCAUCGAUUUUGAACCAAGAUUCCGAUAUAACUAUUAAAUCAACAAUGAAGUGAAGUUUGUCUAACAUAUACGCAAUAUCAUCAAGUUUAUCUUUUAAGCUUCUAGCAUUAAAAUAAAGAAUUUUUAGUGAAUUAUUUCUGUUAAUUUUAGUUUGGAAAAUAUCUUCGUUAUUGGAUUUUACAUAGGUACUUUGAGGUAAAUUGAACGCUAAAUUAUUGUACAUUAAGGUUGUUAUCUUCUGUUACAAGUAUAGCCUUACUAUUAGAAUUUUUUCUUAUAAACAAUUUACCCUCUUUCACCCAUAUAAAUUCGAUAACCUUUUGCUUUUUUAGUUCUCGUGCUUUUUUGUAAAGUAAUUUGAAAUAACAAGUAAGUCUUUCAUUGCAGAAUAUGGUAUUGUCGUUUGUAUUUUCUAUCUCAUUUUCAAAUAUUUUAGUUGUAAUAGUUUUUUUCUUCAUGGUUUUUAGAAUACAUAUUAGUUUUUACUUCAAGAUUAGAAAAUUUAACAAUAAUUCUACCAGACUCACCUGACCUUCUUGAUUUAUUUUUAUCUACAAAUACUUUUUUGAUAUCCUUUUGAUCGAUUUCUACUCCUACACUAUUUGUUAUUUUGGUAGCAGCUAAUCUGGGGUUCUUAUUUUCA